AUCCAGCUGACGAGUCCCAAAUAGUACGAAACGCAUGUCCUGGAU
rfam:Schistosoma margrebowiei strain Zambia genome assembly, scaffold: SMRZ_scaffold0000294